GACGAACGCUGGCGGCAGGCUUAACACAUGCAAGUCGAACGCCCUAGCAAUAGGGAGUGGCGCACGGGUGAGUAACGCGUGGGAAUGUACCGUUUAGUGGGGGAUAACCAAGGGAAACUUUGGCUAAUACCGCAUACGCCCUUCGGGGGAAAGAGUUUUCGCUAAACGAUCAGCCCGCGUGAGACUAGGUAGUUGGUGGGGUAACGGCGUACCAAGACGCCGAUCUCUAGCUGGUCUGAGAGGAUGAUCAGCCACACUGGGACUGGGAAACGGUCGAGACAAUGACGGGAGGCAGAAGUGGGGAAUAUGGGACGAUGGGGGGAACCCUGAUCCAGCCAUGCCGCGUGAGUGAUGAGGGCCUGAGGGUUGUAAAGCUCGUUGACAGAUGAAGAUGAUGACGGUAGCCGGAGAAAAAGCCCCGGCUAACUGCGUGCCAGCCGCCGCCGUAA
rnacentral:rRNA from 1 species